GAGUGGGCGUGUCUCUGAGGACUCGCUGGCCUUCACGGUGUCGUCAUCUUCGCUGUUCCUCAGUUUGUUGCUGGGCACCUGUGCCAUGCUGGUGAAAGAGACAGGGAUCACCGUGUUUGGAGUGUGCUUGCUCUACGACGCCCUGGUGCUUUGCCGCAAGCCUCUCAUGUAUCACCUGUCUAGUUCUACACUCAGGGAGCUCCUCCACAUCUGUAGCCCCUUCAUCAAACGAGCCUGCCUUAUCACCAGCUAUGUAGUGAUCAUCGUGUCUUUCAGGCUUUGGCUGAUGGGAGGAUCCAUGCCGCUUUUUUUCUGAACAAGACAAUCCAGCGUCCUUUUCACCUCAUUUUCUCACCAGGAGGCUCACAGCUUCGACCUCCACCUCCUUAAGACUGAGCUCAACCUCAAGUUCUACCAGCAGGUCAAACUGGUGAACUUCGUCCGGCGGCAGAUCCAUCAGAGCCGCUGCCACGGCUGCAUGCAGCUGUUCGACUGCCGGAUGGACGCCCUGCGUCACAUCGCGGCUGAAGGUCACGUGAUGAAACUGCCGGACAUGUCCGCCUGGGACCAGCCGCAGUAGGUUUAACGAAGCGCCUGUGAUCCGCAGAAUUAACCAAUGAGACCGCGGGCUUUAAAGCUGGCGUACAGCUGCUGAUGAACGUGGUCAACGCCACUACUUCCCCACGCACGAGAACGACGCUCUCCUGUGCACGUUCUCUGACAGCGGUGACGAGGAGCAUCGCGGUGAGGAGAUCCCGGUCAUUGCGGAGGACAUCUCUAACCUGAGAGCGCUGAAACAGUCCAGCGUCCUCAAGCAGCUGCUGAAGGAGCGAGGAGGCAGCAGCUAGGACCACAGACGGACACGUGUCAUACGUUUGACUCAAAGUCGUCUCUGACGUCGGCUGAGCUCAGCUCAUGGUGACCACAUCCCACAUGGCUGGAACGCAGCGGCACGGGUUUGAGUCCGGCCCGUGGCCCAUGGUCUUUCCCUCUCAACUAUUUCCUGUACGUCUCUUCUUAGUAAAGAUAAGAAAGGCAAAAGAAAAUGUUUAAAAGAAGAGUCCUCUCCACAGCUGGACACGCGGAUGUCAUGAUGUCCGCUGAAACGUAAUUGCUCUGCCUCGUGCAAUGAAGCUGAAACAUGCGUUUUCUUGAAUAUGAAUUUUAUUACUCGAGUAAAAAUGAUUUUCUUUUGUAACUUGUAACUGAGCUGGAUUCAGUGCUGUGGUGGACAGGCAGCUCAUCGUCAAGAUAAGACGAGAGAACUCUUUAUUGUCAUUGCACAGUCACACUUAGAACAACAGUACUACACAACUGGAAACUGUCCCGCGUCGGCACUACGCACAACACAAACAACACAAC